UACGGAGGAUCCGAGCGUUAUCCGGAUUUAUUGGGUUUAAAGGGUCCGCAGGCGGGAUAUUAAGUCAGUGGUGAAAGGCUGUCGCUCAACGAUAGCACUGCCAUUGAUACUGGUAUUCUUGAGUAUAGUUGAGGUGGGCGGAACAAGUCAUGUAGCGGUGAAAUGCAUAGAUAUGACUUAGAACACCGAUUGCGAAGGCAGCUCACUAAGCUAAUACUGACGCUGAGGGACGAAAGCGUGGGUAGCAAACAGG
rnacentral:misc_RNA from 1 species